rnacentral:rRNA from 1 species
UACGUAGGGGGCAAGCGUUGUCCGGAAUCAUUGGGCGUAAAGCGCGUGUAGGCGGCUCGGUAAGUCCGCUCUGAAAGCCCGGGGCUCAACCCUGGAAAGCCGGUGGAAACUGUCGAGCUAGAGUCCGGAAGAGGCGAGUGGAAUUCCUGGUGUAGCGGUGAAAUGCGCAGAUAUCAGGAGGAACACCAAUGGCGAAGGCAGCUCGCUGGGACGGUACUGACGCUGAGACGCGAAAGCGUGGGGAGCAAACAGG